rnacentral:rRNA from 1 species
GACGAACGCUGGCGGCGUGCUUAACACAUGCAAGUCGAACGGAAAGGCUCUGCUUUUGCGGGGUGCUCGAGUGGCGAACGGGUGAGUAACACGUGAGUAACCUGCCCUUGACUUUGGGAUAACUUCAGGAAACUGGGGCUAAUACCGGAUAGGAGCUCCUGCUGUUAGGUGGGGGUUGGAAAGUUUCGGCGGUUGGGGAUGGACUCGCGGCUUAUCAGCUUGUCGGUGGGGUAGUGGCUUACCAAGGUUUUGACGGGUAGCCGGCCUGAGAGGGUGACCGGCCACAUUGGGACUGGGAUGCGGCCCAGACGCCUACGGGGGGCAGCAGUGGGAAAUAUUGCACGAUGGGCGGAAGCCUGAUGCAGCAACGCCGCGUGCGAGAUGACGGCCUUCAGGUUGUAAACCGCUUUCGCCUGUGACGAAGCGUGAGUGACGGUAAUGGGUAAAGAAGCACCGGCUAACUACGUG